GGGGUCCCAGUUCCGAACC
rnacentral:snRNA from 1 species